rnacentral:rRNA from 1 species
GAUGAACGUUGGCGGCGUGCUUAACACAUGCAAGUCGAACGAUGAAGCCCAGCUUGCUGGGUGGAUUAGUGGCGAACGGGUGAGUAACACGUGAGUAACCUGCCCUUAACUCUGGGAUAAGCCUGGGAAACUGGGUCUAAUACCGGAUAGGAGCGUCCACCGCAUGGUGGGUGUUGGAAAGAUUUAUCGGUUUUGGAUGGACUCGCGGCCUAUCAGCUUGUUGGUGAGUUAAUGGCUCACCAAGGCGACGACGGGUAGCCGGCCUGAGAGGGUGACCGGCCACACUGGGACUGAGACACGGCCCAGACUCCUACGGGAGGCAGCAGUGGGGAAUAUUGCACAAUGGGCGAAAGCCUGAUGCAGCGACGCCGCGUGAGGGAUGACGGCCUUCGGGUUGUAAACCUCUUUCAGUAGGGAAGAAGCGAAAGUGACGGUACCUGCAGAAGAAGCACCGGCUAACUACGUG